rnacentral:rRNA from 1 species
UAUGUGAUCGUCUCUCGCAUAUCAAUAAGCGGAGGAAAAGAAACUAACAAGGAUUCCCCUAGUAACGGCGAGUGAAGCGGGAAGAGCUCAAAUUUGAAAUCUUAAAGGGUUUCCCUUUACGAAUUGUAGUUUAAAGAAGUGUUUUCCGUUGAGGUUUUGGUAAAAGUUCUUUGGAAUAGGACAUCAUAGAGGGUGAGAAUCCCGUAUUUGACCUUUACUUUCAACUUUGUGAUACACUUUCAAAGAGUCGGAUUGUUUGGGAAUGCAGUCCAAAAUGGGUGGUAAAUUUCAUCUAAAGCUAAAUAUUGGCGAGAGACCGAUAGCGAACAAGUACCGUGAGGGAAAGAUGAAAAGAACUUUGAAAAGAGAGUUAAACAGUACGUGAAAUUGUCAAAAGGGAAGCGUUUGACACCAGUGUUGUUUUUCUGAAAAUCAAUUAAAGAACUGUUUAUGCUAAGCUGUUUAGACUUUAUCAGCUAUCUGCUUAGUUUUGAGCUUUUCUUUAAUGCACUUUUCAGUUAACAAGUCAACAUCAAUUUCUUUUGCUGUAAAAAAGCUUGAGGAAGGUGGCUUGAGAUUCGUCUUAAGUGUUUAUAGCCUCUUGCCUAUGCAGUCGGAGAGAUUGAGGUCUGCAGCGUAGAUCCUUCGGGGCUAAAUGCAUUUGUGCUAAGUUAUAGCAUUUUAUAGACAACUUGUUGACUAUGAUUUGUCUUGUAGCUUACUCGCUUAUGUUAUUUUACCUACGCUUAGGAUGUUGAUCUACAGAGCGAGAGU